rnacentral:misc_RNA from 1 species
AAAAUCAUCAAAAUUGUUACAUCCAGUAAAAAGUUUUGCGGUAUAAUACAACGUAGGUCGACGAAAAAAGCGUCAAGUAAAAACGCAUUAUUAGAUAUAACUCGAAAAGUUGUUGUUAGAUCUCAAAUAAAUUUAAAUGGGACCAAUUGGCACACACCACCCUUCGAUUAAAACAAAAUUUGUCGAAAUCGGUCUACCCGGUCAAAAGUUCUAAUGUAACAU